rnacentral:rRNA from 1 species
GAAAGGGACGGCUAANUACGUGCCAGCAGCCGCGGUAAUACGUAGGUCCCGAGCGUUGUCCGGAUUUAUUGGGCGUAAAGCGAGCGCAGGCGGUUAGAUAAGUNUGAAGUUAAAGGCUGUGGCUUAACCAUAGUACGCUUUGGAAACUGUUUAACUUGAGUGCAGAAGGGGAGAGUGGAAUUCCAUGUGUAGCGGUGAAAUGCGUAGAUAUAUGGAGGANCACCGGUGGCGAAAGCGGCUCUCUGGUCUGUAACUGACGCUGAGGCUCGAAAGCGUGGGGAGCGAACAGGAUUAGAUACCCUGGUAGUNCACGCCGUAAACGAUGAGUGCUAGGUGUUAGGCCCUUUCCGGGGCUUAGUGCCGCAGCUAACGCAUUAAGCACUCCGCCUGGGGAGUACGACCGCAAGGUUGAAACUCAAAGGAAUUGACGGGGGCCCGCACAAGCGGUGGAGCAUGUGGUUUAAUUCGAAGCAACGCGAAGAACCUUACCAGGUCUUGACAUCCCGAUGCCCGCUCUAGAGAUAGAGUUUUACUUCGGUACAUCGGUGACAGGUGGUGCAUGGUUGUCGUCAGCUCGUGUCGUGAGAUGUUGGGUUAAGUCCCGCAACGAGCGCAACCCUUAUUGUUAGUUGCCAUCAUUCAGUUGGGCACUCUAGCGAGACUGCCGGUAAUAAACCGGAGGAAGGUGGGGAUGACGUCAAAUCAUCAUGCCCCUUAUGACCUGGGCUACACAUGUGCUACAAUGGCUGGUACAACGAGUCGCAAGUCGGUGACGGCAAGCUAAUCUCUUAAAGCCAGUCUCAGUUCGGAUUGUAGGCUGCAACUCGCCUACAUGAAGUCGGAAUCGCUAGUAAUCGCGGAUCAGCACGCCGCGGUGAAUACGUUCCCGGGCCUUGUACACACCUCCCGUCACACCACGAGAGUUUGUAACACCCGAAGUCGGUGAGGUAACCUUUUAG